AUCACUGCAAAUGCCCUUUUCUUACCAAUCUGGUCAAAAGGCCUUAGGGUUUGAUCUCUGGGAACUCAGGAUAUUUGCUGUCUUUGUAAAAGACUUCUAAAGAUAAAAUUCUAAUUAAGACUUUAAACAAAGUCAGGACCUUUUGCAUGUAGUCCAAAAACAAUGACUUGGAUAAGGAGAUAAAUCUUAUCUUCUUCCUGAAACUGGCUAAUGGGCAACCUUUACAAACAUUCAAACUAUUUCAUUCAAUAUGACAGUGAUGUGGAAGGUUUCAAAGUCCUAAUGUCUUCUUUGUCUCUAUAUAGCAUAUAACAUUAUGUUGCAAUACAAUCAAUGAUAGGGCACUCUCUGUAUUCUCUCUGUGCAAUGGGCAAGGAUUUUUUAUGUCAUGCUUCAUUCACAGCCUGCUACACUGAUGUCACAGAGCCAGCAUCUAUGCUUACACAAAGGGAAGAACAACAAUCUUUUUAUUGCUGUUAAGCAGAUUUGCCACAAAUUCCGUUUCCACUAAAACAUCAAAACACCAAGAACAAGGCCACAUUCCCCUCAAGGAAAUGGAUGGGGAGAGAGAAGAAGAAAUGCCCUGUGAUGCUGAUUCUACACAAGAGGCCUCCCUUUGGACAAUUCUUGAUUUCAGAGAUUAGCAGAUCCCCAAAUACACGGAAUUCAGUUCUCUUCCUCUUCCGCUUCUUCCAGAAGACCAUCUUCCUUUGAAUGCUGCUGCAGGAAAGACUUACUGCAACUGGAAGCACAAAGGCUGUAAACGCCAGACUGACUUUGAACUUGGAUAUUCAGCUCGGUGUUGCAAGCCAGAGUGGGACAGAACUUGUGAUCCAGAGAGGGAGUGGGAAUGGUGCUCCGAUAUCAGGUGUGCCACUGAAAUGCUUCCUGAUGUUUCCCAGACCCAAGGCUGCAAAAGCCUUCCCUGUUACCCAAGGAAGAAUUCACAGCAGCAGGCUCUGGCCUGAGAGGCCUAACGUGCUGCGUAUCAUCCCACGGGCUUCAUUAACAAUCGUGUCUUCCAACCAGAACUGGUUGCAUUUCAGUGAAGCAUGAAGUCAUCCCGAAGUUAAGAUAUUCAAAGGCAACCAGUUUCUUGGGUGCUCAGCUUGGAACAGCUUUAAGGGACUUUUGAUACGAGCACAGUGAACACCCAGCAAUGGUCACCUCUCCCCACUUCUGCAAAUCCUGGCAUUUGCAAAUCCACUAACAAUAUAUUUUUUUUAAAUAAUGCUUCCAUAUUUUACCUGUAGUUUGUGUCAUCACUCAUAUGCUAUUCUUCUUUUACAAGACAGUUUAAUGUUGUGCAGUUUGACAGAUGAAGUAUUUUAUGCACAGCUACACAAAAUAAAAGUGAUUUACUUUCAUUAAAACAAGGAGAUGGCAAAAUAAAAUUUAAGGCCAGAUCCUGAUAUUCUUAUUCAUGUUGAG